UUCUUGAUGAAUUUAGACAUAUUUAUGAGAUUUUGUAUAUCAUGAUAAAAACAUUAUAAGUUAUGCAUCUAAAAGCCUACUCAACAACAUAGAGUUUGCAGGGAGAAUGGGAGAUAAAUGAUACUCAUGGUUUAUCACACCAAAAGCUGAUAGAACUAAUUCAAAAUCCUGGGUGGUGAAGUGGCCAUCUGUCUGCUUAAAUUCACUGUUCGGGAUCUAUUUUUAACUUCUGCCUAAUUAGAGCCAUUUUAUCAAAUGAUAUUCCAGUCUGUUUGAAAUUUUUCCUUGUUCUUUCAAGCAAACGAUCUCAGUUGGUUUCUUAAUUUAUUAUCAAAUUGAUUUCCCUCUCUUAUUAUGUGCGUUCAUUCCUCAUUCUGCCCAUUUUAUAUAUUUGUCAGUUAUCCAAUCUGACACUGCAUCCUUUUUUAGGAUACACUCAGUAUAUGAGCAUAUUGAUCUAUUUUCUGUUCUGUUCUACUAUAUAUUAAUCUAAUAUUGAUUUUUAUAUGAAGUUUGGUCUAUCAGUAGUAGGUUGGAUACUCUAAGAUGAUAUCAAUUGCAUUUUGUUGUUUUUAUGUUUCUUUCUUAUUGCUAUUGCCACAUGUGCUAUGCUCACUUUUCAUUGUUGUUAUCAUCAUCAUUAUCAUCAAAUGUGUCGUUUAAAUUACAAUCUUGUUUGAUGCAAACCAAACCAAUUUCAUUGUAAUAAUUUUGUUCUAUAGUAUGGGAGAAAUUCUUUCACUUAUUUAAAUAAAUAUCUGCGUUCUUUUGGGCAAGAACCACAGUAUAGGCAA
rnacentral:misc_RNA from 1 species